AUUGAACGCUGGCGGCAGGCCUAACACAUGCAAGUCGAGCGGAAGAACGGUGCUUGCUCCUGGAUUCAGCGGCGGACGGGUGAGUAAUGCCUAGGAAUCUGCCUGGGAGUGGGGGAUAACGUCCGCAAACGGGCGCUAAUACCGCAUACGUCCUGCGGGAGCAAGAGGGGGAUCUUCGGACCUCACGCUAUCAGGUGAGCCUAGGUCGGAUUAGCUAGUUGGUGGGGUAAAGGUCUACCACGGCGACGAUGCGUAACUGGUCUGAGAGGAUGAUCAGUCACACUAGAACUGAGACACGGUCCAGACUCCUGCGGGAGGCAGCAGUGGGGAAUAUUGGACAGUGGGCGGAAGCCUGAUCCAGCCAUGCCGCGUGUGUGAAGGAGGCCCUCGGAUUGUGAAGCACUUUUUGUGGGGAUGAAGGGCAUUAGGCUAAUACCUUGCUGUAGUGACGUUACCGGCAGAAUAAGCACCGGCUAACUUCGUG
rnacentral:rRNA from 1 species